CUGCUGUUAGGCUGGGGGUUUCCAGUGGAGAACAGCCUUUAUUUUUGACCCUGAGGCCAAGCACUAGAAGUGGAGUCAAGACUUCAAGGUGCUAGGGGGAGUGUAAGAAGAAAGAAGAGUUGUUUCUUCUUACCUUUCCUCUCUUCAAGAGGUUUCCUGUCCCACAGAAAACUUGAUGAGGAAGAUUUCCUUCCUAUAUGCACAUUUAUAACAGCUUCCCAUAGCACUGCACUGCGACAACCUGUUCAGUGGUGACUGCUAUUUUUGUUUUCCUUUUUUUCCAGCCUUCUACAACUAUCACUGAUUACGGCCAUGUUGUCUUUCUGGUUCAGAGAACACUGUAAAUAAUUACAGCCAACCAACUCUGUGGCUCUGGCAUCUAUUUCAGUUGUCACUAUUUCACACGAUUUAAAGUAGAAAGACACUUCUUUGAUCUAUCCAAUAUUAUAUAGAGGUUUGGGGGUUUUUUAAAAUUCUUUUUAUUGUGACAUUUUUGAGACAAUUGGUUUUACAGCUUUGGCCAUACCACUUG